UACGUAGGGUGCAAGCGUUGUCUGGAAUUAUUGGGCGUAAAGAGCUCGUAGGCGGUCUGUCGCGUCGGAUGUGAAAACCCAGGGCUCAACCCUGGGCCUGCAUUCGAUACGGGCAGACUAGAGUUCGGUAGGGGAGACUGGAAUUCCUGGUGUAGCGGUGAAAUGCGCAGAUAUCAGGAGGAACACCGGUGGCGAAGGCGGGUCUCUGGGCCGAAACUGACGCUGAGGAGCGAAAGCGUGGGGAGCAAACAGG
rnacentral:rRNA from 1 species